UGAUUGGAUCAUGGGGGUGGUCUCCCCCAUUCUGUUCUCAUGGUAGUGAGUUCUCAGGCCAUCUGAUGGUUUCAAAGUGUGCCACUUCCCCUCGCCUCACCGUCUUCUGCUGCCUUGUAAAAACGUGCUUGCUUCCUCUUUGCCCUUCACCAUGAUUGUAAGUUUCUGAAGCCUCCCCAGCCAUGUAAAACUGUGAUUCCAUUAAACCUCUUUUCUUUGUCAAUUGCCUAGUCUCAGGUAUGUCUUUAUAGCAGUGUGAGAAUGGACUAACACGCCAUCCCACCCCCACCAGAGAAGAUCACGGGGCAAAUUUAUGCAGUCAUUUUUAGAUACUGAUUCUCAGCUGAGGAGUGGGUGGUGAAGGCAAAUUCCCCCUAAAUUGGAAUUACAGCUAAAUAUGUAACAAGAAUGCCGACAAGUCGUAAUUAACUAAUUAGGAAACUACGGUCUACACAGGACACUGGGAAAACUUGUUUUUGAUCACAGCCCUGCUGCCAAAAGCAGGAUCUGGUCCAGAGAGGAUAAAAUAAAAAAAGCAGCAGGAACCAGCAGAUGGUGCUGAGAGUAAUUCCCAGCUGACCUUACUGCUCAUUGGCAUAAGACACUCCCACCAGGGCCAUGACAGUUUGCAAAUGCCGAGGCAAUGACCCGGUAGUCACUGCCCCUUUCCUAGAAAGUUCUAGAUAACUUGCCCCUCAGUUUGUAUUGACUUGCCCCUAAUUUGCAUGUAGUUGAAAGUAGGUUUAUGUCAGUGUAACUAUUGUUGCCAAGAGCCCAUAUGUUGCUGACUGCGGGCACACUGUGAGUCAGCCCUGCUCCACAAGGAACGGUACCAUUCGGCAAAAGAUUGCUGUCUACCACCACCAGCUCACCUGGAACUCUUUCCGGGGCAAAGCCAAGUGUCCUCCCAGGCUCAGCACCGAUCCUGUGGCUCACCUGUCCUGUAACAUCUGGCGACCAUGAAGAGGCAAAGAUGCAGCUGAGUCCACCCAAGCUGGGGAAACCUGAGGAGGAGACCUUCACCCCGGCCUUGGUUGGUGCCAUUUUGGCUCCCAUGGGCAGGAGAAUGUCCCCUUGGCCUUCCCCAUCAAUAUCAGCUCCUGGAUGUGCAUUCCUUCUCCUGGACAAAACACUGGA
rnacentral:lncRNA from 13 species